rnacentral:rRNA from 1 species
UACGAAGGGGGCUAGCGUUGCUCGGAAUUACUGGGCGUAAAGCGCACGUAGGCGGCUCUUUAAGUCGGGGGUGAAAUCCUGGAGCUCAACUCCAGAACUGCCUUCGAUACUGUAGAGCUUGAGUUCGGGAGAGGCGAGUGGAAUUCCUGGUGUAGCGGUGAAAUGCGCAGAUAUCAGGAGGAACACCGGUGGCGAAGGCGGAUCUCUGGGCCUUACCUGACGCUGAGGCGCGAAAGCUAGGGGAGCGAACAGG